GAGUUUGAUCCUGGCUCAGAUUGAACGCUGGCGGCAGGCCUAACACAUGCAAGUCGAGCGGUAGAGAGAAGCUUGCUUCUCUUGAGAGCGGCGGACGGGUGAGUAAUGCCUAGGAAUCUGCCUGGUAGUGGGGGAUAACGCUCGGAAACGGACGCUAAUACCGCAUACGUCCUACGGGAGAAAGCAGGGGACCUUCGGGCCUUGCGCUAUCAGAUGAGCCUAGGUCGGAUUAGCUAGUUGGUGAGGUAAUGGCUCACCAAGGCGACGAUCCGUAACUGGUCUGAGAGGAUGAUCAGUCACACUGGAACUGAGACACGGUCCAGACUCCUACGGGAGGCAGCAGUGGGGAAUAUUGGACAAUGGGCGAAAGCCUGAUCCAGCCAUGCCGCGUGUGUGAAGAAGGUCUUCGGAUUGUAAAGCACUUUAAGUUGGGAGGAAGGGCAGUAAAUUAAUAACUUUGCUGUUUUGACGUUACCGACUAGAAUAAGCACCGGCUAACUCUGUGCCAGCCGCC
rnacentral:rRNA from 1 species